rnacentral:rRNA from 1 species
GACGAACGCUGGCGGCGCGCCUAACACAUGCAAGUCGAACGGAGCUUAGAGAGCUUGCUUUUUAAGCUUAGUGGCGAACGGGUGAGUAACGCGUGAGUAACCUGCCCUAGAGUGGGGGACAACAGUUGGAAACGACUGCUAAUACCGCAUAAGCCCACGGUACCGCAUGGUACUGAGGGAAAAGGAUUUAUUCGCUUUAGGAUGGACUCGCGUCCAAUUAGCUAGUUGGUGAGGUAACGGCCCACCAAGGCGACGAUUGGUAGCCGGACUGAGAGGUUGAACGGCCACAUUGGGACUGAGACACGGCCCAGACUCCUACGGGAGGCAGCAGUGGGGGAUAUUGCACAAUGGGGGAAACCCUGAUGCAGCGACGCCGCGUGGAGGAAGAAGGUUUUCGGAUUGUAAACUCCUGUCGUUAGGGACGAUAAUGACGGUACCUAACAAGAAAGCACCGGCUAACUACGUGCCAGCAGCCGCGGUAAAACGUAGGGUGCAAGCGUUGUCCGGAAUUACUGGGUGUAAAGGGAGCGCAGGCGGGAAGACAAGUUGGAAGUGAAAACCAUGGGCUCAACCCAUGAAUUGCUUUCAAAACUGUUUUUCUUGAGUAGUGCAGAGGUAGAUGGAAUUCCCGGUGUAGCGGUGGAAUGCGUAGAUAUCGGGAGGAACACCAGUGGCGAAGGCGGUCUACUGGGCACCAACUGACGCUGAGGCUCGAAAGCAUGGGUAGCAAACAGGAUUAGAUACCCUGGUAGUCCAUGCCGUAAACG